rnacentral:lncRNA from 1 species
GUCUCUUGCAGGUAACGCACUUGCCUACAAUUCGCUUAACCAGUUGUCGUCCUUUCACUACCCAGUACUUUGAUCGUAGUCUACAUAAAGUCGCUCGUACACUACAAUGAUGUACGUCACUGUGUGAUUUUCGAACCAAUAACUCUGUUAAUCUGUGAUCCUUUGGCAAGAUGAUUGGGUAUCUGGCACUCAAUUCUAAAUCCGAAUUCUUCAAUCAACCUUUGCACCUCAGAAUACCUUCUUCCUCCACUAAUCUUAAAGAAUUACUCAGCUGAUCAUAAUUCUUCUGAUCCUUCAGUUCUGUCUGAGCUUUCUUAAUCCAAAAUCCCUCUGCUUCAGCUAGUUCCUCUACACUGAGCUCUCCUCUACGUUUAUCAACAUUCUUUACUUUAGCUUGAGAAUUAAACUUGAAUCUAAAUACCCAUGCUGUCACUCUAAAAAGCUGUUCUGAUGUACUGUACUUGUUUAAGUCAAUCACAAUGGUUGCAUGAUCUUGCUGGUUAACCUGUACUAACAUUGCUAAUGGUUUUCUUUCUUCCUCUAUCACUUCAGGUCUCUUCACAUUACACUUAAAUUUAGGCCAUUCUUCUUUGGACUUAGAGAGCCAAUCUGGCCCCUCCCACCAAAGUUUACUAACUUUCAAAUUUGAAGCUAACAUCCCCCUUGAACCUAUAUCUGCAGGGUUUUCUACCCCUAGACAGUGCCCCCAAUCCUCUUUGUUUGUGAGUUUCAAAAUUUCAUUAACUCGAUGAUGGACAAAUUGCUUCCAUUCCCCUCUAUUCCUUAUCCAGUAAAGGGCAGUAAUGCUAUCAAGCCAGAAACAGGUAAAAUCUAUCUUAACUUGGGUUCCAAGUGCCCCUUUAACUGAGUUCAUGAGCUGGGCAAGGAGUCUGGCUGACAUCAAUUCUAAUCUGGGUAUGCUUGUCGGUUUUAAAGGCGCUACUCUUGCUUUAGAGGUUAGUAGACGCACAUACACUCCUACACUUGUUUGGUAAACAAAAUAGAUCACGGCACAAUAUGAUUUCUGACUUGCAUCACCAAAUCCAUGCAAGGUACAC